CUGACAACCCUCGGAAGACCCAGCCCCUGACUUCUGCCCAGGAUGAUUCUCGGUCUGCGGCUUGCCCUCUGCCUCCUGGCUGCUGGUCUCAGCAUCCUCCAAGCCCAAGGCACUUUGAAUAAUGCUCUGGACUGCUGUGAGUCAACCCGCGACACACCUCUCUCCAUCAGAAAGUUGCCGCUAUUCCUGCGCUAUGAAAUCCAGGAGCCGAACAGAGGGUGUUCCAUCAAGGCAUUUGUGCUAAUCACCAGACAUGGACGUGGACUUUGCUACCCUCCUGAAUCCAAGGUGGCUGCGGUCUUUAAGAAGGGUCUGGAUGAAAGGAAGGGCCGGAAACAGAAGAAGAGCAUGGCAUAAGAGCAGAGCAUCAUUCCAAAACCGGAUCCUUCCCAGACUGAGCUCCGAAGGAAGUUCAUCGGCAGAGAACAGAAACGAAGACAGGUGGGAUCUCAGAGCGGCGGGCCUGGGUGUGGGAAGGAGCCAUCCUAAUUAUUCUCUCAGUUUCAGUUUGCUUAUUUUGCCUCCUCCAAGACCUCCCCCCGCCUUUCCGGCCAGGGGCCCGGAGCUGAAAUGCCAACCUGCCUCCUCCCCGGAAGCUGUGCUGCUCGGCCACACGGUGAGCUUCUCCUGCCACCAGAAGGGCCCCCGGGUCUCCCGCCAGCCAAGAGCGCGUCUCGGAGGCUCUUCCUGAUGCGCCAGGCAUUCCCCACAGCCGUCCGCAAGAGGAAGCCUCAUCCACAGCCUAGACCAAAGCCCGCCUCCGACAUGGGGAGGGCUUGGAAGACAACGAGGGGCUGGUCGGCCAGCCCCUUCUUGAAAAUGCCAGUUGCUUUGGCUUUUGAUCAUGAAGCUCUGAAAACGUUGACAGUAUAGAUCUCUGUAACAUUAUACUGCCAAUAAAUGAUGUAUAAGUCACAUUUCUUGCUUGGCUGUUACUAUAUAAAAUACCUGUGCUGCCACACGCUUAAUUAAA